GCGCCCGUAGCUCAGUUGGAUAGAGUGCUUGGCUACGAACCAAGGGGUCGUGGGUUCGAAUCCUGCCGGGCGCGCCA
rnacentral:tRNA from 1 species